rnacentral:rRNA from 1 species
GUGGGGAAUAUUGGACAAUGGGGGGAACCCUGAUCCAGCCAUGCCGCGUGUGUGAAGAAGGCCUUUUGGUUGUAAAGCACUUUAAGCGAGGAGGAGGCUACCGAGAUUAAUACUCUUGGAUAGUGGACGUUACUCGCAGAAUAAGCACCGGCUAACUCUGUGCCAGCAGCCGCGGUAAUACAGCGGGUGCAAGCGUUAAUCGGAUUUACUGGGCGUAAAGCGCGCGUAGGUGGCCAAUUAAGUCAAAUGUGAAAUCCCCGAGCUUAACUUGGGAAUUGCAUUCGAUACUGGUUGGCUAGAGUAUGGGAGAGGAUGGUAGAAUUCCAGGUGUAGCGGUGAAAUGCGUAGAGAUCUGGAGGAAUACCGAUGGCGAAGGCAGCCAUCUGGCCUAAUACUGACACUGAGGUGCGAAAGCAUGGGGAGCAAACAGGAUUAGAAACCCCUGUAGUCC